rnacentral:rRNA from 1 species
CCUACGGGAGGCAGCAGUAAGGAGUAUUGGUCAAUGGAGGCAACUCUGAACCAGCCAUGCCGCGUGCAGGAAGAAGGCCCUAUGGGUCGUAAACUGCUUUUAGUACCAGAGAAAACCCGAGUACGUGUACUCGGUUGAUAGUAUGGUAAGAAUAAGCAUCGGCUAACUUCGUGCCAGCAGCCGCGGUAAGACGAAGGAUGCAAGCGUUAUCCGGAUUCAUUGGGUUUAAAGGGUGCGUAGGCGGACUGAUAAGUCAGUGGUGAAAUCUCUCGGCUUAACCGAGAAACUGCCAUUGAUACUGUUAGUCUAGAGUAUAGAUGACGUUGGCGGAAUAUGACAUGUAGUGGUGAAAUACUUAGAUAUGUCAUAGAACACCGAUUGCGAAGGCAGCUAACGAAACUAUAACUGACGCUGAGGCACGAAAGUGCGGGGAUCAAACAGGAUUAGAUACCCUGGUAGUCCGCACCGUAAACGAUGAUUACUCGUUGUUGGCAAUAUGACCGUCAGCGACCAAGCGAAAGCGAUAAGUAAUCCACCUGGGGAGUACGCCGGCAACGGUGAAACGUACGAAUGAUUGACGGNGAGAGAGNGACGACGACGACGACGGAGGGAGGAG